UACGUAGGGGGCAAGCGUUGUCCGGAAUCAUUGGGCGUAAAGAGCGUGUAGGCGGCCAGAUAAGUCCGCUGUGAAAUCUCGAGGCUCAACUUCGAGCUGUCGGUGGAAACUGUCUGGCUAGAGUCCGGAAGAGGAGAAUGGAAUUCCUGGUGUAGCGGUGAAAUGCGCAGAUAUCAGGAGGAACACCGAUUGCGAAGGCAGCUCGCUGGGACGUUACUGACGCUGAGACGCGAAAGCGUGGGGAGCAAACAGG
rnacentral:rRNA from 1 species